rnacentral:pre_miRNA from 1 species
UCUUAUGGAUAAGCCAAGAAAGUAGUUUCUUAAGAUGGAAUCUACUCCUGGUGAAGAUGCUGUGAA